GAGCACGUAGGUGGGUUUGUAAGUCAGAUGUGAAAGCCUUCUGUUCAAUGGAAGAACUGCAUCUGAAACUGCGAGUCUUGAGUGUGGGAGGGGAGAAUGGAACUUCUGAUGGAGCGGUGAAAUGCGUAGAUAUCAGAAGGAACGCCGGCGGCGAAAGCGAUUCUCUGGCCUAUUACUGACACUCAGUGUGCGAAAGCUAGGGGAGCAAACGGGAUUAGAUACCCCGGUAGUCCUAGCCGUAAACGAUGGGCACUAAGUAGAGGGG
rnacentral:rRNA from 1 species